rnacentral:rRNA from 1 species
ACGGCCAUACCAUGUUGAAUAUACCGCUUGAUCACCGAAGUCAAGCAUCAUUGGGCGCGGUCAGUACUUGGGUGGGUGACCACCUGGGAACACCGCGUGCCGUU